ACACAUUCCAGCCAAUCAGCAGCAGACUCUCCCUCCCAGAUCCUCCCACCUCCUGGACAGCUCACUAAGAAUGCAGCUUCAAAAUGGAUGCUGUCCAGGAGGUGGGAGGGUCUGGGAGGGAGGGUCUGCUGCUGAUUGGCUGGAAUGU
rnacentral:miRNA from 1 species